rnacentral:rRNA from 1 species
UACAGAGGUCCCAAGCGUUGUUCGGAUUCACUGGGCGUAAAGGGUGCGUAGGUGGCUGGGUAAGUUUGAUGUGAAAUCUCCGGGCUUAACCCGGAAAUGGCAUUGAAUACUAUUCGGCUAGAGGUUUGGAGGGGGGACUGGAAUUCUCGGUGUAGCAGUGAAAUGCGUAGAUAUCGAGAGGAACACCAGUGGCGAAGGCGGCGACCUGGGCCAAUAUUGACGCUGAGGUGCGAAAGCGUGGGGAGCAAACAGG